rnacentral:rRNA from 1 species
GCAUAUCAAUAAGCGGAGGAAAAGAAAAUAACCAUGAUUGCCUUAGUAACGGCGAGUGAAGAGGCAAAAGCUCAAGUUUGGAAGCUCAAUGGUUUAACCAUUGCGCAUUGUAAACUGAAAACAGGAUCAAUCAGGUACACCGGGUGAUAAGUUCCUUGGAAUAGGACAUCAUGGAGGGUGAGAAUCCCGUCUUUGACCCGAGUCUUAGUAUCUUUUGUAUUGGCCUGUUCAAGAGUCAGGUUGUUUGGGAAUGCAGCCUAAAGCUGGAGGUAAAUCCCUCCUGAAGCUAAAUAAUGGCGAGAGACCGAUAGCGAACAAGUACCGUGAGGGAAAGAUGAAAAGAACUCUGAAGAGAGAGUUAAACAGUACGUGAAAUUGCUUAAAGGGAAGCAUAUAAAGCUAGGAUGCGAUUGUUUUCUUCAGGUUGAGCUUUGGCUUGACUGUUCAGAAGGAUAAUCCAAGACAACAAGAAUUGGAGGAGGAGAAUAAGCCAUUGGGGAAGGUAAUCCUUCGGGAUGUUUAUAGACCUGAUGGUUCGCGCUCUUCUUUCGAUUGAGGUACGCUUUUUUUUUAAAGGUUGUUGUCUGAAUGGCUUUAUAUGGCCCGUCUUGAAACACGGACCAAGGAGUCCACCUAAUGUGCGAGUAUUUGGGAGGUAAACCCAUAUGCGCAAUGAAAGUGAUUUUACCUAUGAGGGGGUCUCUCGGGGCCUCUGCAAUAGGAUCGGGCAGGGACGUUUUAUACUGAACUGACUCAGAUAAAGCACAUUGGAUGGGACCCGAAAGAUGGUGAACUAUGCUUGGAUAGGGUGAAGCCAAAGGAAACUUUGGUGGAGGCUCGUAGCGAUUCUGACGUGCAAAUCGAUCGUCGAAUCUGAGCAUAGGGGCGAAAGACUAAUCGAACCAUCUAGUAGCUGGUUCCUGCGA